UGGCUCAGGGGUUAAGAGCACUGGCUGCUCUUCCAGAGGACCUGGGUUCAAUUCCCAG
rfam:Neotoma lepida isolate 417 scaffold_473, whole genome shotgun sequence.